GGAUGAACGCUGGCGGCGUGCUUAAUACAUGCAAGUCGAACGGACGUAGCAAUACGUUAGUGGCGACCGGGUGCGUAACACGUAGUUGACCUGCCCCUCAGCGGGGGACAACAUGCCGAAAGGCGUGCUAAUACCGCAUGAACUAGGGGUGCUUAGAAAGCCCUUAGAAAACUUCCGGGGCUGAGGGAGGGGACUGCGGCUCAUCAGGUAGUUGGUGGGGUAACGGCUCACCAAGCCAACGACGAGUAGGGGACCUGAGAGGGUGACCCCCCACACUGGAACUGACACACGGUCCAGACUCCUACGGGAGGCAGCAGUAAGGAAUAUUGGGCAAUGGGCGCAAGCCUGACCCAGCAACGCCGCGUGGAGGAUGAAGGCUUUCGGGUCGUAAACUCCUUUUGAGGGGGACGAGGAAGGACGGUACCCCUUGAAUAAGUGACGGCUAACUACGUGCCAGCAGCCGCGGUAAUACGUAGGUCACAAGCGUUAUCCGGAUUUACUGGGCGUAAAGCGUGUGCAGGCUGUUAGGUAAGUGGUGUAUGAAAGCGCUCGGCUUAACCGGGCGAGGUUAUGCCAGACUGCCUAGCUAGAGGCAGCAAGAGGGACAUGGAAUUCCGGGUGUAGUGGUGAAAUGCGUAGAUAUCCGGAGGAACUCCAGAGGCGAAGGCGAUGUCCUGGUGCUGACCUGACGCUCAGACACGAAAGCAUGGGGAGUGAACGGGAUUAGAAACCCCGGUAAUCCAUGCCGUAAACGAUGCAGACUAGCGUCGGCGGUCUCAACCCCGUCGGUGUCGCAGCUAACGCGUUAAGUCUGCCGCCUGGGGACUACGUCGCAAGACUAAAACUCAAGGAAUUGACGGGGGCCCGCACAAGCAGCGGAGCGUGUGGUUUAAUUCGAGGCUACACGAGACCUUACCCGGGUUUGACAUGCAGAUGCAGCGGCGUGAAGCGUCGCGUCUUCGAGGGUCUGCACAGUGCUGCAUGGCUGUCGUCAGCUC
rnacentral:rRNA from 1 species